UUGAAAGGCAUUCCUUAUGUCAGCCUGGGAAAUGCAUAAACCUCCCGGUUUGAGAAGGGGGACUGUCCUAUUGAACCAAAUACAACAAUUUGCAUGAGGCAGCUGAGGAAAUAAUAAAUACUAAGUUUGCUAAUACUAAAACACUAAGCUUUUGCUAAUACCCCCCUGGCUGAUGUUGGAUGAUCUGAAUACAAUCAUAUGUAAAGUGACUGUGAAUUUAACCAGGGUUAGAGUUGAGGUUAAUUCUCUCAUCUUUUAACUUGUCCCCAGAGGCAACAAGCUAUUGCAUUAUUCCCUUAUGUCUGCUUUAAUUUGUUCUUCAUCAAGAACACUGGUUCUGCUAGGGUACUGUGAUUUUACUGAGACAUGAGCUUUGGUUAGGGAGCAAUUCCACUUUGGCUGACUCCAGAGUAGAGGGGAGGGUUCUUUUCCAUUGGCUGGUAGUCACAGUUUAUUUUGGUCAGAGGGAAAUUCACUUUGCUGCUGUGACAAGCUGGAUUCCAAACUGCUUUCCCUCCACAUGUAAGGAAGAACCAUAUCCUUAACAAGUAAAAAGCUAAAAGCUUUCAGCUUUCCAGGGCUAGCACUACUCCAAAAAUUGUUUUUAGAAAUAGCAAUUCUUCCUGUUAAUUUCUGAAACUUUCCACAAACAUAUGGUUCCAGUGACUUGCAGGCUAUAAUUUAAAAUGAUUAAGCCAGGAAUACCCAAAUUUUGUUUUAUGAACAGGACCUAUCCUAAUGACCACAGCUUUCCAGUGUAACAUGGAUAGUAAAAUUGGCUCCUGUAGCAGCAGGCAGAUGCUCCUUACUGCUUUUGAUGUUGCCCAUCAUGGUCCAGACGGAUGGCUGCUUCAUUUUCUGUUGCUUCAGUGGCUGGAAUUUUUCAUUCUGUUGCUAAUGCAUUCCUUUUCUUCUGCAGUGUCUGUAUUAGCGCACACAUGAAAAUGUUAAUCUUUCACCACAUUGUGGAAUACGGGUCAGCCAUAGGAGACCAUGACUGUUUUUCUGUUGGAAGGAGAUUAACACACUGCCUUUGUUUAGGGCUUUUGCCACUUCCUGCCCUUUGAGCUCCAGAAAGGAUUCCCUAUUGUCAGUUGUCCCUACACAGGGUUCAGAAGAGUAUAAUCUUGUUUGAAGAAGGUGAGCUUUGCUUUAUAGUGGUCAGGAGGCGCUUUCUAAUUCUCUCCCUCCUUGCUGUCUGUAAUUCUUGGCUCACGCUGAGUCAGGGCCCAGUGAGGGCUGCCUCACCUGGAUACAGAAAACUCAAAUCUUUUUCUUCCCAAGAGCAGCAGCAUCUUUUGAGUUUAAGCCCCAUCACUGAUUUUCCUUUGCUGAGAUGUUGCUGAUUACAGAGUUCUUUGGUGGAAAUGGCUGAAAUGCCAGCACCAAAGACUGCUGUGCAUUUCAUUGUAGGAUCCUUUGCAGGCCUGUAUGAGCUCCCUUGCAGAGAUAGUCAAGAGCAGGCACCCCCAAACUGCGGCCCUCCAGAUGUUUUGGCCUACAACUCCCAUGAUCCCUAGCUAACAGGACCAGUGGUUGGGGAAGAUGGGAAUUGUAGUCCAAAACAUCUGGAGGGCCGAAAUCUGGGGAUGCCUGGUCAAGAGCCUUGAAUUCCAUAACCUUGUUUGCCCAUUCUUUUGAGUCAUGUGGUUAGCAAACAGACAAAUGUUCAUGUCUCUGGGUGGGGAGAGCACUUGUCCCACAAGCAACUGGAACCACUCAGCAUGUUUCACAGGGAGGGGAAAUGAGGUGCCAGGAGAAGGGGAGGGAAGUGUGCUGUCUUUGAUCAUGGCCACUUGCAGGAAAAAAAACCCCAGAGGAGAUAAGGACUUUGGCCCUUAGCAGAAUGGCUGCUGGAGGCAACCAAAGAGCCUGCAUUUCGGAGCUUAAGCUUUACUUUUACCAGGAGGCAAGUUCUGUCUUUAUGGCAUCAGGUGAUCAUUUCAAAGGGGCGCAUCUCUGGUCAGAGCUGAGAGUAACCCUGUUGGCUGCAGUAGUGACACCUGAUUGCCAAGGUACAACUAGGAGCGCAUUUUGAGUUCUUGGUUGUUCCUUUGCAGCCAUGUCUUUGCCUACCUCUCAUCACAUACGUAGGGCAGGUGGGUGUGAUCUGAAGAAAACAGCUUCACAGGCAUAGUUGGGUCCGUAGACUGGAGUGUCCCCCAUUGCUGGCCUAAAGUCUAGGCUGUGAGAUGACAAGGUACACUGCCACUUUCUUCCCAGCCAGUGUGCUUUUGCCCUAGGACCCAGGUGAACUUUCUCUUAUUCUAAAUGCACUGGUGCCCAUGGCAGACAAGGGCAGAUGCAAUUCUAACUCCAUAAAUGCAUCCUGGUGCUACCAGGAAGGGUGGGUUUGAGUGGCUCCCAUGUUAACCUUAAAAUAACGUGGACAUAGUCCUUAAUGUGCAAGUUUAGUGGCUGAUUUCUUACCCCUGGUUCCUGUUGAGAGAUGAAUCAGCUGCACAGCUAGCUCUCCUCCAAUUUGCAGUGCAAAUCUUCCUGAAGGCUGUGCUGGACAAAAGGCAACAAUUUCCCUUGGUUCCCAGCAUCUGAGUCACUUUCUCCGAUUUGGCCCAUGUCCAGGACAGAGUUUGGGAGAGGGGUGGGAGAAAGUACAGCCUGCUUCAUUAAUCUGUGGCUUUUAGAGAUGGAGUUGCUCAGCAAAUAAUGCUCCUUACAUUUCCUCUCCGCAACUGCUGCAGGUUGUAGCCGAAUUCCAUUUGGCAAUGCUUAGAGCCUCCUCCACCCCUUUUGCAAGUGAAGAAGCGCUUUCUCCUGUACUUUCCGCUUGUGGAUACUAAUAGCAAGAAUGUCUCCCUCCCCCCCUUCCCCCUUGGGAACAUUUAUUAUAAUCUCUACUGAACUUUAGUGACCCUUGUAUGGAGAGCUCGCUGGCAGGAUCUUAGGUGGCUUGGCUGCCAUCAACUUUCUCUAAGUCUCCACUAUGUUUGUAGUGCUGGAUUCACUCUUAACUGCUCGUCCUCUGUUGUUCAGGGUGGUUUUAGCCAUCAGCUGCAGUUCUGUAUUUCUUCAACGCAACCUAGCUUGGCCUCCUUGUGACCUCUGUGUGCAAUAGUUGGAUGUCCUGGAUAGCACACAGAGGAUAAGCGAACAGGGAGCUUCUAUGGGAAGGACAAAGCCAUCUGGGUCAAACAGAGAGAUCUCUUGUGCUUCUUUGGCCCUGAGAAUGGCUAACGUGGGAAUUGGCCUAGAUUUGCAGAGGCUGACACCAGCAGUCAGCCACACAUAGCAAAUGUGCCAAGUUGACGCGGAUCCCUGAAAUCUGUCUCCUCCUCAUAGCAGCUUUGGAGUGCUCAAGUGCCUUUUCUCUACAAGAUUGCAACCCUUUGCUGGGGGAAAAAGGGGGCCAAAUAUGGAAGCAAAAGCAGCCUACCCUGCAGUAAGGUAAAGGUAAAGGGACCCCUGACCAUUAGGUCCAGUCGUGACCGACUCUGGGGUUGCGGUGCUCAUCUCACUUUUUUGGCCGAGGGAGCCGGUGUACAGCUUCUAGAUCAUGUGGCCAGCAUGACUAAGUCACUUCUGGUGAACCAGAGCAGUGCACGGAAAUGCCGUUUACCUUCCCGUCGAAGUGGUACCUAUUUAUCUACUUGCACUUUGAUGUGCUUUCAAACGGCUAGAUUGGCAGAAGCAGGACCAAGCAACGGGAGCUCACCCCGUCAGGGGGAUUCGAACUGCCGACCUUCUGAUCGGCAAGCCCUAGGCUCUGUGGUUUAACACACAGUGCCACCCACGUCCCAAACAGUAGCCAAGGGAAAAAAGGGUGCAAAGGCUGCCUUUAUUGUACUGCUUGGCAGCACAUCUUUCAGGAUCUCAUAAACAGAUUUUAUGAUGCUCUGACAGUAUCUGCAAAGUUAGGCCAGGUACAAAGAUGGCUGAAACAGCACUCUCUGCUAGAGAGGGAAAAGAGCUCUAAUGUCUUAUUCGGUCAUAAUAUGUCAAGCAGUUGCUAGACCAGAUCCCGGGUAAGCACAGAUAAGCAGUGAAGCCCUCCUUGCUGGAUUGCUGCAUUCUUUAAAAAGAACGCAAAAAGGCCCUGCCAAAUACCACUGUGACAAAGAACUGGACUGCAGGAAUAAUAAUCCCCCAGCAGCUCUUCCUUGACCCCAAAGUGCAUGAGAGCACCUUGGACUUUCCAGGCAAGAAAAAAAGCAAUAUUUAUCAGGAGUCUCUCUAGAAACAAGAGAAUCCUUUCUGCCUCUAAAUAGUGCCUGUUGAUGUGCUGCUCUCUUCAGCAGCCCAUAUACUAAUAGGGACUGUUGAUGUUAGAUGAUGCACGGGCGGGGGGGCGGAUCUAGGGAAAUGGGUACUCCUUAGUUUCACUUGAAUCUUUUCUGAUGGAAAAUCUGGUUAAACUGAAAGUGUAACUUUCCAUAAGCAAGCCAGAAGUCUCCUGAGGAAAGUCAGAGCAAGAUGAAGAAGGUGGGGGAGCUCCUGUCCUGCCUGUUUUCCAACAUUUGGGAGGAAGGGCGGGCAGUUUUUUCCAUUCUUUGUCGCAGUAAAAGUACUUGUGUAGAAUACAUUUGCAUUCUCUUAAUAAGCCUGGAAUUCCGGAAACCAAGGUGGUGACUUGAGACUUGUUUGCUGCCAUCCCAUCCCUCCCUCAGACACACACUAGAUACACAAUUCCUGGCAAGUCUGAGAGACUGGAUUUUUCUUUUAUGCUUGACCGUAUUAUCAAGGGGAAUCAUGUGAGAAGUAUGAAUUAUAAAAUUCAAGCUCAAUGGAUAUACAGUAUUAACACAGAAUUCCUAAAUGCAUAAUUAAUUUUAACAUACAAGAUUAUCUUAGGUGUUCAGGUCUUGUAAGAAAAGGAGCGCAGUAUCAGUGGAACAACAACAAAAAAUUAAAUAUCAAGAACAAAGUCCCAAAGAAUAAUUUUCAUUAAAACGAAUCAAGCAGUAUGCAAAUUCAUCAUCCAAGCAGAAGGAGGGAAGGGAUUUUUGUCUUUGCUUCUACUCCAUCUUGCAGUUGGGGAUGAAUUGAGCAAGGGUUCUCCUGGGAUGCUUUUCAGAUUGUGCAAAAGCUGGAAUAAAAGGAAGAUCUGUCAGAAUGACUAGUAGAAGCCUCCUUGCCAGAGAGCAAACAACUUACAAAUGCCUAAAUAAAUGAUUGGUGUAGAGGGGAAAACAGGGACUGGAAAUCUGCCUUGUUCCUUGUUUUUUUUUUUUUGUUCUUCCAGAAAAGUGAGGGCCAGGUAUUAAAAUAAAAAUUAUUGGGGGUUGGGGCUCCAUGGUCCCAUUUUCUUCCCCCACACCCUUUCCUGCUAAUGGUCUAUAACAGAUGAGGAAUUCCAGCCCAUGGAAAUAAUUAGACCACCUUUCCCAGAUCUUGGAGGUUGGCCCAUCAAGCCAUUUCUGACAAGCUACACCCACCUUUCUUGUACCUAACUUCAUAUGUGACAGCAGCCACAGGAAAGUUCACGUUGUAGCUGCUGCACAGGAAGAUUCAAGGAGGGCGCUCUCAGGCGAGGCCAGCACUGCAAGUCAGCAGGGCCAACAUAAACUAUUCAUUUUUCCUUUCCUGCACACAUGCGUGUGUGUCUAAGUCCGCUAACCCGGAAGUAUUUUUGCCGCAUGCGCGUUCUGAGCAUGCACAGAAGCGGCUCGCGCUUUGCGCAUGCGCAAAAUGGACGCUUCGACUUAUGAAGUUUUCGACUUCCGAAGAGCGGCGCAGAACAGAUCGCCUUUGUAAGUCGAGGUACCACUGUAUAUCACAAUAGCUAAAUCACACUGAUGAAACAGGGUGUUUCUGUCAUUGCUUCCUUAGCCCAGUCAGCUUCCAUACUUGAUGUCAGCCGAUAUAGCUGGUCGUGGGUAAAGAAAUUGCUUUCUACCCUGCAGGAACAAGAGGGGGUGGAUUCAGAGGUCUGCCAGACUGGAUUUGACCCCUGGGCAGGUGGUUUGCUCAUGCCUAGUGUGUAUGUCUAGCGUGUAGAUUGUGGCUCAUGGAGAGUUUGUCUGCAGCUUGCUUACUGCAUUGAAAUUUGCAUCCCACCUUUUCUGCCUGGCGACAGGCCUCUAAAGUGGUUGGCAAUGUGAUAAUCAAUACAUGAGAAACUUAAAAGGGUAUUCUUUAAGGCAGUGGUGAAUUGUGAAGGCUGGGGGUGGGGGUGGCAGAUAAUAGAAAAUGCCCACUCCACAGGCUUUAGGAGCUGCUGCCGAGCCUCUUUCAAGGGAUGCUUUUCAAAGGUUCCAUGGUGACCAUGACAAUGAGAGUUGGGGGAAGGUGAGGUCAUACGACAGCUAGAAUUAUGGACAAGAUGGAUGAUAGGGUAAAAGUGAAGCUGCUGCCCAAAAUGGCAGCCAGGCACAAUGCAUCUCUUCCCUUCCACCCCUCGCCUUCUGUAAUCUGUGGAAAUGUAACUUUGUUCCACCUCAUAACAUUCAAGAUUGACAUAAUCAGCUGCUGCAUGGUGGGGGGUGGGGGUGGGGGACAGACACUGGAGAGAAAUCCAGGACGCCGUGACACCAUGGCACAAGUUAAGAUCUAUUCAAUGUGCCGUUGCCGCUUCGUUGGCAACAGCCAAACUUAUCCUCGCAUCUUGUUUGGCCCUCUCUGCCUGUUUCGUUGCUGCUGUUGAUUUUUUUAAAAAUAAAUAAAUUCCAGCCAUCAGUACAAAUAACUGCAGUGUUUGACUUGCAUUGGGGUUUGGAGUAGGGAGCUUGCAGCAUUUAGAAUUGCUGCUUGAUAGCCUUGAAAUCUAAGGCUUUCCUAGCUGCAGCAAUAGCAUCACCUCGUCCUGCUGCUUCUCCACCACCCCCUCCCUGCUUCCAAAUGCUGAGUACAGAAAUCCUGGCAGUAAAGUUAACAUCUUUGUGCCCGUUGCUCAUGGCUUUGUGUGGGCUCCUUGCCAAGCUGCAUGAAUUAUUUAUUGCACUGCUGCAUCGGCAGCUGGUUAAUGCCCGGUGGGGUAUAUUAUAAAACUGCCAGUGCCUUAGUGCCUGGGGACCUCAGAUAUGCAUAGUGGAUAGUGCAGGAUAUAAUCUGCUCCCCUCAUUUCGAACUCUGCUCCACUCCAUGAAACAACGAAGAACAAAAUCCUCUGGUUUCCAUGAGCUCGAAUUGAAGCACUGUUGUUGUGACAAGUGAUGCUUGUGAUUAGAUUUUAAAUGUCCACAAGGUUGAAGUUGUGAAGGCCCAAUCUUUUCCCCCUAGGGAAACAAAAUAAAUAAUUUUUUGGAGAAAAGCAAACUUUCUUUUCAAACUUAAACUCAUUUUACUGCUUUAAGAACGUAAAGUGUAUCAUUUAUGACCUAAGCCAGGAAGAGUUAGGGUAUACUUUUUGGCAUAUUUAUAAAAUUUAAAAGUGAAUGUAUUGAUUUUGUAUUUGCAAAAAUUGCAAAUAUGCCCAAUUGUAGCUCAUUUCCUUCUUUGGGUCUUGGCUAAGUUGUCACCCAGAAUUUCAGAUUUCCCCUCUGAUGCUUUGGCACUCAUGCCAGAACUCCUGCAGUUUCAGCCCCAUCUUCUGACUCUCUAUUUUACCCUCCAACAUGACAGAUAUUUUUCACAGAUAUUUGAGGGGAGACAUGGCAAGUCUGGCCACAAGGGUAGAGCCAGGUCAAAAGGACAGCAGAAACAGGAUAUUGUUUCUCGUAUCACCAAAUUAGACUAAAGGUCACCAAAAGAAGCCAAGCAGCAAUUCACAAGUACUGUAAUGAAGAUCCUGUGUGUUCCUCUCCUGAAGAUGGCAGCACUCGCCAGGUGAAAAAUGCAUCUUGGGAUUGAGUGUUCUAUAUGUCAGAAUUACCAUUCUCUAGUGCAGGCAUGUCCAACAGGUAGAUCGUGAUCUACCCGUAGAUCACUGGAUGUCUUUGGUAGAUCACUGGUAGAUCCUUGGCUUCGCCCAAAGAAGCUGAGCAACUGUGGCUCCCCUAAAAAAAAGCUGAACAUUUUACCUCCUCCCUGAAAAAGCUCAACAACUUUGACCUGAACCCCAAAAAUGGGGGUAGAUCACUGCCAGUUUUUAACUCUGUGACUAGAUCACAGUCUCUUGGGAGUUGGCCACCCCUGCUCUAGUGCUUGCAAAAGAAAAGAAAAAAAUUAACAACAUUUCAUUCAUUCUAAAAAAGGAAUGUUUUUCAGUGUUUCCCAAAAUUUCACAUUUUUUUCCUGUUGGACAAUUAAAAAAUAACAAUCAAGGGAGAAAGUCUACUUUCCUUCCCUUUCCAUACCCCCCCCCAGCUCUACUUGUGAUGUCAGAUAAUAUCAAUUUUGGGAAGAAAAUUGUUGAGCACCAGAAUUGGAAUUGCUCCUAGAUAAUUAUCUGGGUGUCUGGCAAGAUAAGGCUUUGCCUUCAAUCAGGACAAGUUUGAGAUGGUGUAGUAGCCAACUAUUGUAGUCACUGAGGUUUUGCCUCAGAAGCAAAGUAUAAAUAUGCAUCCCUUUUGUACUCGUCUGUCAUAGAGCUUUUACUGAGGGGCAACAGCAGGCUGUGUUGGUGUGUAUUUGAACCACACCUUCCUCUUCUCCCCUUUUGUAUAGAUCUCUUGGCCAUAGUACUCCAUGCUCUGGGAUAUUUCCAGAUUGGAUUGCUGUAAUGUGCUUUAUGUGGGCUGUCCUCGAAGACAACUCAGAAACUUCAACUGCUCCACAAUGCAGCAGCCAGAUUACUGGCUGGGUUUGCCUUUAAAAGGUAAAGGUAAAGGGGCCCCUGACCAUCAGGUCCAGUUGUGUCUGACUCUCGGGUUGCGGCGCUCAUCUCGCUCUAUAGGCCGAGGGAGCCGGCGUUUGUCCGCAGACAGCUUCCGGGUCAUGUGGCCAGCAUGAGAAAGCUGCUUCUGGCGAACCAGAGCAGUGCACGGAAACGCCGUUUACCUUCCCGCCGGAGCGCUCCCUAUUUAUCUACUUGCACUUUGAUGUGCUUUCGAACUGCUAGGUGGGCAGGAGCUGGGACCGAGCAACGGGAGCUCACCCCGUUGCAGGGAUUCGAACCGCCGACCUUCUGAUCAGCAAGCCCUAGACUCUGUGGUUUAACCCACAGCGUCACCUGGGUCCCCGGGUUUGCAUUUAGAAUUCAUAUAACCCUGUUCUAAAACAGUUGCAUCGGCUUCCAGUUCAUUUCCAGGCCCAAUGUGCUCAGGCUAGUAGUUUUUCAAACCUUACAUAACUUAGGUCUCAAAUAUCUGCAAGACUGUGUUCUUCUCUACAGACCCUCCCAGGUGAUCUUGAUAAUUCCACCUCCCUCAGAAGUUUGUUGGGGCAGGAAAGGGCAUUCACUGUAGCAGCCCCUAAGUUGUGGGGUUCCUUCUCUACAGAUGUGUGUCUGGCUUCUUCAUUAUAUGGUUUUCAGCAAAUGCAGAAGAGGCAGAGGGAGAUUCCUAUGAUACUAGUUUGGAGAGAAUAUGAUGUGUUUGUGCUCAGAAUAAGCUUCACUGAAGUGCUCUUUUUUGCAUGUUAGGAUCUCAUUUCCUUGUAGUUUUAGCAGCAGUUGUGGCCAUUCCCAUUACUGUUACUGAAACGGGUGGUGGCAGGUAUUUUGAACUGGCGUGACAUAAGUUAGCACAUUGACCUUCUCACGGGUGCAGAUGCAAAUCAUUGUAGUCACAUUGCUUAUGGUGCUGGUGCAGUUUUAAAUCUAUAAAUCUAGAUCAAAGGCAAUUCCCUUGCCUGCCCCCACCGUACAGAUACUCUCUUGCGAAUUUAAAACUGAUUCUGAUCCUAGAUGACCUGCAAAGAGAGGAGGCGAGAAAUUGAGAAAACCAAGAACGCUUGGAGGAGGCAUCUGGGAAUGCAUUCAAGAGAUUUAGAGAGGGGCCUAGCUGAUCUUAUUCCUUUACAGAGAACUCUUGCAUUGUGUUUGUUGUGAGGCGUUUAUGUAACAGAAUCAUGAGCUUAGGUCAUGCUUGAGUUUCUGUAGUCCCUGCUUUCAGGAAACUACUACAAUUGUGAGCGGGGUGGAGAAAAGGAGUCAGAGGCAGUGUUUGUAGGAAGGCUGCUUGUUGACACUUUAUUUUGGAGGUGAGGGUGUUGCUGUCUCUAUGUGGUGCAGGCCUGCCUUCGUCUUGGAGUUCACAACGGAAGGAUGAUAGAGACUGGGUCAGUGUUUGCGUUCUGAAAUCUCAACCCUCAUUGUGUUUAAAAAUUAAAAGCCCAGUAUAUCCUGUCAUUGCCUUUCCGGAUCAAUAGCAGCAGCAAAGGUGUCUGAAUUGUAUCUGCUAAAGUCGUGCUAGUUCCAACCGGUACUAGUAGUAGUCUAUUUCUGACCCCACAGUAUGGAGGACAGAGCUGGGGGAGGCUAGCCUUGUGGCUGGAGAAUAAUCAGCAACUCAGUGUUGGUGUGCGACUGCCGCAAAAAUGUAACUUACUAGGAACAGAUGCUUUUGCCUGAGGGAACUUGGUUGCAUCCUGGUUAAGAAAUGGCCAGUUUCCAGAGGGAAACUGCUGACACACCAUUUCUUCUUUUUUAAAUAAAUUUUUAUUGAUUUUACCUAAUAAAGAAAAAAACAUACAAACAAAUAACACAUAUCACAUUUUCAACCUCAUACUUUGUUUAACAUUGUCUUGGUGACUUCCUCAGAUCCCUUCCUUCUGAUUUUCAUAAUUUCAUAUUAAUAUUCAUAGCAGAUUUCUUCGUCCCAAUUUCAACCCUUAUUCUUUAAAACAAAUAUUCAUACAGCUAUACCUAAUAUCUAGACUGAUCCCUUUCCCUUCUUAACAUAUUAUCCCCCUUCUUCUAACCCCCCCUCCACAAGCCCCCUCCUGCCACGAGAGAGUCCCAUGAAAGGUGGGUAGUCAAAGGUGGUCCAUUUUAUAAUUGGGUUUAUCCCCACCUCCCCCCAGAACCUCCCCCUGCCACCAGGAGGCUCUAGGAUGACAAGGAGAGAUGAAGGCAAGUGUCCACCCAACUAUCUAUCUAAACAUACAAUUUCUACUUAGCUAACCUAAACCUAUUUCUUAAACCUCAUAUAUCUAUUUCCACAAAAUAAUCAUAUUAUCUCUUCCCAAGCCUAUUCUCCCCCCC